AUGGGAUGGGAUCUUAUGACCUGUCCUCUCGGGGUGCCCUCCCACAGGCUUGAGCUGCCCUAACUUCGCCUUCCUUGGGAGCAGAAAGGGCCUUGGAUGGGUGUUCAGUUCAGACUUUGAAACAAGUUGGGAGGCAACAUUAUUUCUUUUUCUUUUCUGCUUGAUAGCCAGCUCUCUAAUUCAGAAGCAUACACUUGGUUACAUUUUCGGCUACAAGUGACUGGCUGUUUUAGGAACUGCAGACGUCUGGGAGGCUUGAAGAGUGUGGAAACUCUGAUGGAGGUGAGGACCCGGCCAACGGAAAGCAUUUUGGUGGGUCUAAUGAUUUUGGGAAAAUCUCUGCAAGGCUGGAACAUUUUGCCACACGAUUGGACCCACUGACUUCUUCAAUUCUCAAGAAACACUGAGCUAGCCAAUAGCCUUGACGUGUUAUUCUGUAUCACUAGACACACUCUGGGAUUAUCGGGUGUAAUAUGAGAGACAGGGCAAACUGAGCCCCAGAAGUCCCGGCCUCUACCUUAACCCAGCAAGUGUACCAACCAUGGAGCAAAGGCAAAACUCUGGAGUUCCGUUGGAAUGCUGAGGUGGGAAGAAGUGGAGAAGACACUCAACUACCAUCUAUCUGGAAAUUGGUAUUCACUCUACUACUAAUGAAAAUUUUAUAUUUGCCACCUAGAGGCCAGUGCUUCUAGAACCAAAGAGAAUCAAUUUCCUGGGCCUGUCUCAGGAAGAGAUUUAAAACUAUGGACUGUGACACCAUUAUGGUCAUAAUCAAAUUUCAGGAGAGAGGGGUAUGGCCCCAGGAACCUCUUCCCAUCUGUGACUGAUUGGAGAUAAGCCCACUGUAGGCAACCACAGCUGCUUUGAGGUUAUGGCUACGCUGGCUAUGCCAAGCUCAGAUGGACAGUAUUGUGUAGGCCUUCCUCCUGUCUUUUGGCUCUUAUAUGCUUUCUGUUCCAUGUCCCACAUGAUCACUGAGCCUUUGAAGGGUGCUGCAGAUAUUCCCCCUAGGGCUGAGCAUUGACAGUCACUUAUUCCAAAAUUUGCGCUUUUGCUCCUAAUUUAAUUCAGAAUAGUAGUCUGAAGAUAUAAAUGGAACUUUAGUUCUGUCUUGGGAACACUGUGUCUCUAAAAUUGAAACAGAUACUAAAAAUUAAUUAAAAGUAGCUUUUAUUGGACUUUAAACAACGCAAAAUUAGGAUUUGAAUUGCACACAGUUUCAUUUUAAGAACCAUAAAAAUAAAGCACAUGUGAUCUGGAAAUCGCUCUCGGCUUCUGCCUGCAGUUAUGAUAAAAUGAAAGAAAGAGCUAAGAAUAAGCUGGGAUACUGUUGAUAACUUAGUGUCAUUUAGACAUACAAAACUUCAUGUGCUAGUGGUGCAUGAUUGGCACACUUCGAUCAAAACAUGUUUUACUGUGUCAAAAGGUUGUUUUGGAAUAUUACAAGAAAAAAAAAAACUUGUCAAGUAUCUAUGAACACUGAACAUCUAUGAUUACCUAGUUACUGUUUUUCCAAGCUCACAAAAUACUUCACUUGUACAUUUGGUUUGAUCAUUUUCUUCUUUAUUCUGUUGCUUUGUGUAUUAUCUAAGAUCCCCUAAAGAUUCUGAGAGAAUGAUAUGGGUUAUACUGACUUACAAUGCCUGUAACACCUACUUCAGAAAUCAAUGGAUGAGAACGACAACCUUGUUUUCAAAACAGUCUUCCAAAAUUAACACCAGGAAACUCGCAUCAUCAUGCUACAGAUUUGUGAAACGAAGUUCCACACAAGUGGAAGUCAAGAAGAAUGAGACACAGCCCUGUCCCAGGAGGGAGAGCAUGAGACUUCAAAGCCACCAACAGAGCUUUUGCUUUAUCUGGGAUCAAGGAUCCUGACGGAUAAAAGGCAAAGGAAGUCCUUCACCUUGAACAAAAAUAUUUUUCUGAAAUAGAGUCUUGCUAUCUAAAGCUCCUUUAAUUCCUUGGGUUUUGCCCUGUGAAAUCAUUUUCCUUGAAGUUAAAUCAUUUCAAAUCCCAUAAUAAUAAUUUGGGGGAGAGCUAGAUUGCCAUAAAAAACAUAGAGGAGUAUGGUGGCGUUCUAAGUCUAGCAUUAAGAAGCUAUGACCUGGUUAGGAAAUCCAUUCAUGAAAGCGCUGUGGUUAGAGGUGAUGGGGAGACAUCCUGCCAAAGGAACCGAGAGCAUCAGGGAGACUGGCUCUCUCCACUGUGCUGCUCUAAGUCUGUGGCCAGCUUCUAUCACACCUGGCUUACUGAACUGAAGCAAGCUCUUCACACGUGCAACUCUCGUGUUUCUGUUUUUGUGUUUGUGUUUGGAAAGAAAAGCAGAGGUGGUGGAGGAGAGUGUCACAGCUGUUCCACACACCCACUUCUUAGGGGGAGAAAUCCUGUGAUACAAUAAAGAGUGGAAGUACUGAGAUGUUGAUUUAUGUAAUUGCUCCACACUUUCCUACUACAGUGACCUCCCCGCCCCCAGAUUCAGUAUCUCUAACAGAGAUUGUGGUUUCUAUGAGAAAAAAAAGAUAGAAAUUGUACAUAUAUCUACAAAUGUAAGACUUCAGAAUUUCAAAAUGUGAUAAGAUAUUUUGUCACCCUGUAGGUUUGAUUUGAUUUAUUUUAAAAGCUUCACUAUUCCCUUGAUAGUAGCUGACAGAUCCAUUCCUGUUCCCAUAUGCUUUCUGCUAUUUUAAAAGAAACAGUACACAAUUGCCUCAGAAAAGCACCAUGUGUUUCCCAAGUGUGGAUCUGAAAACUAUCCAUCUGCCCAUGCUGGCAUCUUCCUGAAUUGUAUGUGACUGAAAGAAAUGUAGUCAACAUUUUGAGACUCUUUGGCUAGAUAAGGAUGAGAAUAAGGCGAUUUCCUUCCCCCCAGUUACUGAAAAUCAAACCUGUUCCUGUAUCCUAGAAUUCUUUGCCCAUCCUGCCCCUUACAUGAUCCCCAGGCACCUGCCAGGACACCAUCACCUCCCACUGAAGUCCUGUGUAACCCAGAGUUUAGCAUACAACUCUAUUCAUUCUGGCUUGUAGAUGCUUUUUUAUUUGAUUAGGUUUCUGUUUGAAGGUUGCCUUUAAGAUGGAGACAAACGACCCACAAUGCAAUUCCUAUCAGUGAUGGGUUACACAGGGAGCACAGGGUUACAGAGACUAAUUCAGAGCCAGCAGAAGCAUUCUCCAGUAGGAAGACAGUGUUUACUCUGUUGUCUCAGUGGGAAGGACACAAAUGGACAAGCUGUUAAGACACUAACAGGAUGCUGGCGAGGAGAGUCAGCCAUGUCUGAAGACUCACGGAGACAAAACCAAGUUUGGAAGUACAAAGCACCUUAAAUGUUGCCAGUCUUCUGUGACAUAAGUAUUCAAAUUAAUUUUCUAGGUUGUUGCAGUCAUCGUAUAAAUGUCUUUACAGCUUUUAAAUUUUUACAUUUAUUUAUUUGUGUAUCGGUUUAUAUGUGUGCUGUCAUGAAUGUGCUAGGACAAGCAUGUAUGGGUCAGAGGUCAACUUGUGGGGGCUGGUGUUGGACCAAGGCAUUUAUCUCAGGCUUGGCAGCAAGUGCCUUUAUCCACUGAGUCAUCUUGCCGUUUUACUGGCCCCAUU